rnacentral:rRNA from 1 species
CAGGUUUACCUGUGUGACUGCGUACCUUUUGUAUAAUGGGUCAGCGACUUAUAUUCUGUAGCAAGGUUAACCGAAUAGGGGAGCCGGAGGGAAACCGAGUCUUAAUUGGGCGUUAAGUUGCAGGGUAUAGACCCGAAACCCGGUGAUCUAGCCAUGGGCAGGUUGAAGGUUGGGUAACACUAACUGGAGGACCGAACCGACUAAUGUUGAAAAAUUAGCGGAUGACCUGUGGCUGGGGGUGAAAGGCCAAUCAAACCGGGAGAUAGCUGGUUCUCCCCGAAAGCUAUUUAGGUAGCGCCUCGUGAAUUCAUCUCCGGGGGUAGAGCACUGUUUCGGCUAGGGGGCCAUCCCGGCUUACCAACCCGAUGCAAACUGCGAAUACCGGAGAAUGUUAUCACGGGAGACACACGGCGGGUGCUAACGUCCGUCGUGAAGAGGGAAACAACCCAGACCGCCAGCUAAGGUCCCAAAGUCAUGGUUAAGUGGGAAACGAUGUGGGAAGGCCCAGACAGCCAGGAUGUUGGCUUAGAAGCAGCCAUCAUUUAAAGAAAGCGUAAUAGCUCACUGGUCGAGUCGGCCUGCGCGGAAGAUGUAACGGGGCUAAACCAUGCACCGAAGCUGCGGCAGCGACGCUUAUGCGUUGUUGGGUAGGGGAGCGUUC